UGAUUCCAUAGCAGCCAAUGAUCCUAUUUUUCACUGAUAGCACUUGUAAAAUAAUAAUUUCUCAAUUAAUAUUCACACAUAAAAUUUGGGGUAUUACAUAGACAACUUGCCUCUUCAGAUAAGUUGCUCCAUGACACGGUCAUCUUAGGUCAUGUUGAGACUGAGUUUGGCCAAACAACGACAAGCACUCCAAUGCUAUUCGGACACCUCUACACUUUUAUCAAGUAGUUUGAAUCAUAAAAUGGUUUUCAACAUCGUACAAAAGGGAGAGAGAAAAAUUGAGCAGCUGACUAAUAUGCUCUACAUUGGAUGUUGAAUUAUGGAUGAACCAGUCCUAUGAUGAAUCAAUUUUAUUUUGCUAUAAAUUUUAUUUAAUUUUACAACUCAAAAUACAAGAACGUAGAUAGAUUAUUAUGCUGGGAACAGAAAAGUCAAAAAAAAAUUGAAAUGCAUCAUGCAUUGCAGCCAAACACACCAUGUCAGGCAAUUCAACAAACACCUUAUACCAGAAUCAAAAACUCAUUCAGGCAACUGAUAAAACACCUUUAAACCAUAUUCAAAAACCUAUUCAGGCAAUUUAUCAAACACCUUAUACCAUAUUCAAAAUCUUACAAGCAGCAACUGAGGAUUGCAAGAACACACUAUGAUUUCUCUUCAAUCACUUCAGCAGAAUCCCAUGAGUUUUUCUCAUCGGAAAGUGAAUUUGUAGUAUGGGAGGCUUGAUCUUGGGCGUUAAUGAUUUGCUCCAUGUCUGUUAUUCUCGUUCUCAUAACAUUGGCCACCAAAACUGCAAAUGAAUCAGACGGUAAAUUCAAUCACAAUCACUAAUUCAUACAC
rnacentral:lncRNA from 1 species